CAACCUUACACGUGACUGAGUUACACUCCCCGGCUGGGUGCUGAGGCUCUCAGUCACAGAAAUGUGGCACCCUUCUUGGGUGCAAGGGUCGGUGUCUCGUGUAUGGGUGUGUCUUGCUACAGCCCCAUGGGUGAAGCUACGCUCACCUGUUUCUUUGUAAUAUAACCCUUUGCCCUGUUUAGGAUAGAAUCUUCCAUGGAAGUGCCUUGUGUGUGUCCCCUUCUCUUAUUGUGCCCUUGGGUGUGGCCUACCCAGGUGUCAGUCAACCUGCUGGCAGUGGACAUCAUGAAGAUAGACUCAGCCCCCAGAAACCUGACCCCUUGCCUCAUUCAAAUAACUUCUCCUCAAUAAAGGGGUCAGUGCGUGUUCUCGCUCUCUCUCUUUCUGCGGACCCUUAAGGUCAGAGGAGCCGUCACAGCGACCCCAAAGAAAAAGGUAUUUGUGUCUCUUGUGUGGUUAUUUCGUGCAGCCGAGUUAGCCCAGUUUAACUGGAGUGACCCCUGAGCCUUUUAGUCUCAAGAACAGAAACCCAGCAGUGCUUGCCUAGCGUGUGUUAGGCAGUGAGUUCAAUCCUCAGCACCACAUAUAAAUAAAUAAAUAAAUAACAGUAUUGUGGGGCUGGGGUUGUGGCGCAGUGAUAGAGUGCUUGCCUUGCAUGCAUGGGGCACUGGGUUCGAUCCUCAGCGCCACAUAAAAACAAAAUAAUAUGUCCACCUAAAACUAAAAAUACAUAAAUAAAUAAAUAUUUUUAAAAAUAACAGUGUUUUGUAUCUACAACUAAAAAAGCAAAAAGACUAAAAGUCUAAAAGACUUUGUCUCAUACUUAAGAAGUAGAUUAAUUUUGUCAUUUUUACUCAUAUCUGCAUUUUCCAGGCACCUUUCAAUAAUCCAUCUCUUGGGGCUAGGGUUGUAGCUCAGUUGUAGAGCACUUGCCUAGCACAUGUGAGUAUUGUGUUUGAUCCUCAGCACCACAUAAAAAUAAAGAUAUUGUUCAUCUAUGACUAAAAAAAAAUCCAUCUCAUCUGUACAUAUUUUACUUUUCAAAACAUCUUCAUGCUUUUUUUUUUCUUUUAGUAUUGGGUAUUAAACUAUUGAAAUAUGCUAUGCAAGCACUCUACCACUUAGC
rnacentral:lncRNA from 1 species